GACGAACGCUGGCGGCGUGCCUAAUACAUGCAAGUAGAACGCUGAAGGAGGAGCUUGCUUCUCUGGAUGAGUUGCGAACGGGUGAGUAACGCGUAGGUAACCUGCCUGGUAGCGGGGGAUAACUAUUGGAAACGAUAGCUAAUACCGCAUAAUAGUAGAUGUUGCAUGACAUUUGCUUAAAAGGUGCAAUUGCAUCACUACCAGAUGGACCUGCGUUGUAUUAGCUAGUUGGUGGGGUAACGGCUCACCAAGGCGACGAUACAUAGCCGACCUGAGAGGGUGAGAGGCCACACUGGGACUGAGACACGGCCCAGACGCCUACGGGAGGCAGCAGUAGGGAAUCGUCGGCAAUGGACGGAAGUCUGACCGAGCAACGCCGAGUGAGGGAAGAAGGUUGUCGGAUCGUAAAGCUCUGUUGUAAGAGAAGAACGAGUGUGAGAGUGGAAAGUUCACACUGUGACGGUAUCUUACCAGAAAGGGACGGCUAACUACGUG
rnacentral:rRNA from 1 species